CGGCGGCCCGCCCAUCUUCCUCCCGCGCCAGACCGCCGCCUCCCCGCUCCUCGCCCUCGAUAUCGGAGGCUACAGGUGGUGGAUCAUAUAAAUUUGGUGAUGAUUUUCGGGAGAAAUUAGCUGUUAGUCUUGACAAGCUGGAUGAAAUGGAUAGUGUUGUUUCUGGAGCAAACUUUUUGUUACAGGGUCUGAAUUCAGCUCACAUCGCAUGAGAUGUCACCUUCACUGCGCAUGAGGAAGAAGAUCACCUUGUUAUGUAUUAAGACUAGCUAAAUGGACUUGUAGAACUGUAUGAGAUCAUUAAGAACUUGUAGAACUGUAUGAGAUCAUUAAGAACUUGUAGAACUUGUAUGAGAUAUGAACUUAUAUGUAUCGUAUAUUGGAUCAUUAUAAAGUUAUAUGUAUCGUAUAUUGGAUCUGGAUUG